AUUGAACGCUGGCGGCAGGCUUAACACAUGCAAGUCGAGCGGGGUGAUGGUGCUUGCACUAUCACUUAGCGGCGGACGGGUGAGUAAUGCUUAGGAAUCUGCCUAUUAGUGGGGGACAACAUCUCGAAAGGGAUGCUAAUACCGCAUACGUCCUACGGGAGAAAGCAGGGGAUCACUUGUGACCUUGCGCUAAUAGAUGAGCCUAAGUCGGAUUAGCUAGUUGGUGGGGUAAAGGCCUACCAAGGCGACGAUCUGUAGCGGGUCUGAGAGGAUGAUCCGCCACACUGGGACUGGGGAACGGCCCAGACUCCUACGGGAGGUAACAGUGGGGAAUAUUGGACAAUGGGUGGAACCGUGAUCCAGCCAUGCCGAGUGUGUGAAGAAGGCCUUAUGGUUGUAAAGCACUUUAAGCGAGGAGGAGGCUCUUUUGGUUAAUACCCAAGAUGAGUGGACGUUACUCGCAGAAUAAGCACCGGCUAACUCUGUGCCAGCCGCCGCAGUAA
rnacentral:rRNA from 1 species